rnacentral:rRNA from 1 species
GACGUAGGGCGCGAGCGUUGUCCGGAUUUAUUGGGCGUAAAGAGCUCGUAGGCGGCUUGUCGCGUCGAAUGUGAAAACUCGGGCUCACCCGCGCUUGCAUUCGAUACGGGCAGGCUCGAGUUCGGUAGGGGAGGACUGGAAUUCCUGGUGUAGCGGUGAAAUGCGCAGAUAUCAGGAGGAACACCGGUGGCGAAGGCGGGUCUCUGGGCCGAUACUGACGCUGAGGAGCGAAAGCGGUGGGGAGCGAAACAGG